rfam:Vigna radiata var. radiata cultivar VC1973A chromosome 7, whole genome shotgun sequence
GUUGAGAGGAAUGUUGUCUGGCUCGAGGUCAUGGAGGAGGAGAGUUCUCAGUUCAACUCUUUCACUCAAAGUUUCCAAUGGAAAUUUACCCUCUAACACCAAAAUGAUUCUCGGACCAGGCUUCAUUCCCCCCACC